CGCCAGACUCCUACGGGAGGCAGCAGUGGGGAAUAUUGCACAAUGGGGGAAACCCUGAUGCAGCGACGCCGCGUGAGUGAAGAAGUAUUUCGGUAUGUAAAGCUCUAUCAGCAGGGAAGAAGUUGACGGUACCUGAGUAAGAAGCCCCGGCUAACUACGUGCCAGCAGCCGCGGUAAUACGUAGGGGGCAAGCGUUAUCCGGAUUUACUGGGUGUAAAGGGAGCGUAGACGGCAGUGCAAGUCUGAAGUGAAAGCCCCGGGCUUAACCCGGGAAUUGCUUUGGAAACUGUACGGCUGGAGUGCUGGAGAGGUAAGUGGAAUUCCUAGUGUAGCGGUGAAAUGCGUAGAUAUUAGGAGGAACACCAGUGGCGAAGGCGGCUUACUGGACUGUAACUGACGUUGAGGCUCGAAAGCGUGGGGAGCAAACAGGAUUAGAUACCCCUGUA
rnacentral:rRNA from 1 species